rnacentral:rRNA from 1 species
UACGUAGGUGGCAAGCGUUGUUCGGAAUUAUUGGGCGUAAAGGGCGCGUAGGCGGUCUUGUAAGUCAGCUGUGAAAGCCCGGGGCUCAACCCCGGAGGGUCGGCUGAUACUGCAGGACUGGAGUACGGAAGAGGUAGCUGGAAUUCCCGGUGUAGCGGUGAAAUGCGCAGAUAUCAGGAGGAACACCGAUGGCGAAGGCAGCUCACUGGGACGGUACUGACGCUGAGACGCGAAAGCGUGGGGAGCAAACAGG